UCGCUCUGUUGCCCAGGCUGGAGUGCAGUGGUACAAUCAUAGCCCGCUGCAGCCUUGAACUCCUGUGUUUAAGUAGUCUUCCUGCCUCAGCCUCUCAAAGCACUGGGACCAUAGGCGUGAGCCACUGCUUUCUUCAAAAUUUGACCCAGAAUCCAAUCAAGACAGUGUCUCGCUCUGUUGCCCAGGCUGGAGUGCAGUGGUACAAUCAUAGCCCGCUGCAGCCUUGAACUCCUGUGUUUAAGUAGUCUUCCUGCCUCAGCCUCUCAAAGCACUGGGACCAUAGGCGUGAGCCACUGCUUUCUUCAAAAUUUGACCCAGAAUCCAAUCAAGACAGUGUCUCGCUCUGUUGCCCAGGCUGGAGUGCAGUGGUACAAUCAUAGCCCGCUGCAGCCUUGAACUCCUGUGUUUAAGUAGUCUUCCUGCCUCAGCCUCUCAAAGCACUGGGACCAUAGGCGUGAGCCACUGCUUUCUUCAAAAUUUGACCCAGAAUCCAAUCAAGACAGUGUCUCGCUCUGUUGCCCAGGCUGGAGUGCAGUGGUACAAUCAUAGCCCGCUGCAGCCUUGAACUCCUGUGUUUAAGUAGUCUUCCUGCCUCAGCCUCUCAAAGCACUGGGACCAUAGGCGUGAGCCACUGCUUUCUUCAAAAUUUGACCCAGAAUCCAAUCAAGAGUCUUGCUCUUUUGCCCAGGCUGCAGUGCAGUGGCGCCAUCUCAGCUCACUGCGAGCUCUGCCUCCUGGGUUCACGCCAUUCUCCUGCCUCAGCCUCCCAAAUAGCUUGGACUACAGGGCGACAGUGAUCAUCAGACCGGCAAAAUGAAGGAAUCUUAAGAAAGAUGGCUUAACCCAGUCAGAAGGGACAAGCAUAAUUUUCUUCCAUGGCUAUUGUAAGGGCCCCGGAGACAGAAAUGAUCAUGACGGAUUCAUGGAGGUCCUUGUGAAUUGGGACUUAACCAGGAGGAUUGGGACUUAAUUUGCACAAAAGAGAGUGGAAGAUCAUUGUAGGCAAGGACAACAACACAGAUCCAGCUCUAUGAGAAAUUGCCCACGGGUAGGCACCUGCUCUCUGAAGUUAUGCUUGACAUCGUGGACAGCUUGGACACAGACACUGGAAGCCUAGGCUCCACAUGGAGACUGGUCUGCAGACAUCACCUGUGGCUGUAGGUCUGCAGUCUGACUGGGGCUGCAACUCUGGUCACUUAUUCAUGGAAACAGAUUUACAUGGCAAAUCAUUAAUAAAUGCAGGUGCUUGGA